UACGAAGGGGGCUAGCGUUGCUCGGAAUUACUGGGCGUAAAGCGCACGUAGGCGGCUUUGUAAGUUAGAGGUGAAAGCCCGGGGCUCAACUCCGGAACUGCCUUUAAGACUGCAUCGCUUGAAUCAUGGAGAGGUCAGUGGAAUUCCGAGUGUAGAGGUGAAAUUCGUAGAUAUUCGGAAGAACACCAGUGGCGAAGGCGACUGACUGGACAUGUAUUGACGCUGAGGUGGACGAAAGCGUGGGGAGCAACAGG
rnacentral:rRNA from 1 species